rnacentral:snRNA from 1 species
CCUGUCUCCGAGAGGAAAAAAAAAAAAAAAAAGAUUAAAAUGGCCCCUGCACAAGGAUGACAUGCAAAUUCAUCAAGCAUUCCAUAUAAGA